AUUGAACGCUGGCGGCAGGCCUAACACAUGCAAGUCGAGCGAGCGGCGGACGGGUGAGUAAUGUCUGGGAAACUGCCUGAUGGAGGGGGAUAACUACUGGAAACGGUAGCUAAUACCGCAUACCAUCAGAUGUGCCCAGAUGGGAUUAGCUAGUAGGUGGGGUAACGGCUCACCUAGGCGACGAUCCCUAGCUGGUCUGAGAGGAUGACCAGCCACAUGGGAACUGAGACAGGGUCCGGACUCCUACGGGAGGCAGCAGUGGGGAAAAUGGAACAAUGGGCGCAGGCCGGAUGCAGCCAGUCCGGGUGUGUGAAGAAGGCCUUCGGGUUGUAAAGCACUUGCAGCGGGGAGGCGUUACCCGCAGAAGAAGCACCGGCUAACUCCGUGCCAGCAGCCGCGGUAAUU
rnacentral:rRNA from 1 species